rnacentral:rRNA from 1 species
GGUUAAGCGACUAAGCGUACACGGUGGAUGCCCUGGCAGUCAGAGGCGAUGAAGGACGUGCUAAUCUGCGAUAAGCGUCGGUAAGGUGAUAUGAACCGUUAUAACCGGCGAUUUCCGAAUGGGGAAACCCAGUGUGAUUCGUCACACUAUCAUUAACUGAAUCCAUAGGUUAAUGAGGCGAACCGGGGGAACUGAAACAUCUAAGUACCCCGAGGAAAAGAAAUCAACCGAGAUUCCCCCAGUAGCGGCGAGCGAACGGGGAGCAGCCCAGAGCCUGAAUCAGUGUGUGUGUUAGUGGAAGCGUCUGGAAAGGCGCGCGAUACAGGGUGACAGCCCCGUACACAAAAAUGCACAUGCUGUGAGCUCGAUGAGUAGGGCGGGACACGUGGUAUCCUGUCUGAAUAUGGGGGGACCAUCCUCCAAGGCUAAAUACUCCUGACUGACCGAUAGUGAACCAGUACCGUGAGGGAAAGGCGAAAAGAACCCCGGCGAGGGGAGUGAAAAAGAACCUGAAACCGUGUACGUACAAGCAGUGGGAGCCUCUUUAUGGGGUGACUGCGUACCUUUUGUAUAAUGGGUCAGCGACUUAUAUUCUGUAGCAAGGUUAACCGAAUAGGGGAGCCGAAGGGAAACCGAGUCUUAACUGGGCGUUAAGUUGCAGGGUAUAGACCCGAAACCCGGUGAUCUAGCCAUGGGCAGGUUGAAGGUUGGGUAACACUAACUGGAGGACCGAACCGACUAAUGUUGAAAAAUUAGCGGAUGACUUGUGGCUGGGGGUGAAAGGCCAAUCAAACCGGGAGAUAGCUGGUUCUCCCCGAAAGCUAUUUAGGUAGCGCCUCGUGAACUCAUCUCCGGGGGUAGAGCACUGUUUCGGCAAGGGGGUCAUCCCGACUUACCAACCCGAUGCAAACUGCGAAUACCGGAGAAUGUUAUCACGGGAGACACACGGCGGGUGCUAACGUCCGUCGUGAAGAGGGAAACAACCCAGACCGCCAGCUAAGGUCCCAAAGUCAUGGUUAAGUGGGAAACGAUGUGGGAAGGCCCAGACAGCCAGGAUGUUGGCUUAGAAGCAGCCAUCAUUUAAAGAAAGCGUAAUAGCUCACUGGUCGAGUCGGCCUGCGCGGAAGAUGUAACGGGGCUAAACCAUGCACCGAAGCUGCGGCAGCGACGCUGAUGCGUUGUUGGGUAGGGGAGCGUUCUGUAAGCCUGUGAAGGUGUGCUGUGAGGCAUGCUGGAGGUAUCAGAAGUGCGAAUGCUGACAUAAGUAACGAUAAAGCGGGUGAAAAGCCCGCUCGCCGGAAGACCAAGGGUUCCUGUCCAACGUUAAUCGGGGCAGGGUGAGUCGACCCCUAAGGCGAGGCCGAAAGGCGUAGUCGAUGGGAAACAGGUUAAUAUUCCUGUACUUGGUGUUACUGCGAAGGGGGACGGAGAAGGCUAUGUUGGCCGGGCGACGGUUGUCCCGGUUUAAGCGUGUAGGCUGGUUUUCCAGGCAAAUCCGGAAAAUCAAGGCUGAGGCGUGAUGACGAGGCACUACGGUGCUGAAGCAACAAAUGCCCUGCUUCCAGGAAAAGCCUCUAAGCAUCAGGUAACAUCAAAUCGUACCCCAAACCGACACAGGUGGUCAGGUAGAGAAUACCAAGGCGCUUGAGAGAACUCGGGUGAAGGAACUAGGCAAAAUGGUGCCGUAACUUCGGGAGAAGGCACGCUGAUAUGUAGGUGAAGUCCCUCGCGGAUGGAGCUGAAAUCAGUCGAAGAUACCAGCUGGCUGCAACUGUUUAUUAAAAACACAGCACUGUGCAAACACGAAAGUGGACGUAUACGGUGUGACGCCUGCCCGGUGCCGGAAGGUUAAUUGAUGGGGUCAGCGCAAGCGAAGCUCUUGAUCGAAGCCCCGGUAAACGGCGGCCGUAACUAUAACGGUCCUAAGGUAGCGAAAUUCCUUGUCGGGUAAGUUCCGACCUGCACGAAUGGCGUAAUGAUGGCCAGGCUGUCUCCACCCGAGACUCAGUGAAAUUGAACUCGCUGUGAAGAUGCAGUGUACCCGCGGCAAGACGGAAAGACCCCGUGAACCUUUACUAUAGCUUGACACUGAACAUUGAGCCUUGAUGUGUAGGAUAGGUGGGAGGCUUAGAAGUGUGGACGCCAGUCUGCAUGGAGCCGACCUUGAAAUACCACCCUUUAAUGUUUGAUGUUCUAACGUUGACCCGUAAUCCGGGUUGCGGACAGUGUCUGGUGGGUAGUUUGACUGGGGCGGUCUCCUCCUAAAGAGUAACGGAGGAGCACGAAGGUUGGCUAAUCCUGGUCGGACAUCAGGAGGUUAGUGCAAUGGCAUAAGCCAGCUUGACUGCGAGCGUGACGGCGCGAGCAGGUGCGAAAGCAGGUCAUAGUGAUCCGGUGGUUCUGAAUGGAAGGGCCAUCGCUCAACGGAUAAAAGGUACUCCGGGGAUAACAGGCUGAUACCGCCCAAGAGUUCAUAUCGACGGCGGUGUUUGGCACCUCGAUGUCGGCUCAUCACAUCCUGGGGCUGAAGUAGGUCCCAAGGGUAUGGCUGUUCGCCAUUUAAAGUGGUACGCGAGCUGGGUUUAGAACGUCGUGAGACAGUUCGGUCCCUAUCUGCCGUGGGCGCUGGAGAACUGAGGGGGGCUGCUCCUAGUACGAGAGGACCGGAGUGGACGCAUCACUGGUGUUCGGGUUGUCAUGCCAAUGGCACUGCCCGGUAGCUAAAUGCGGAAGAGAUAAGUGCUGAAAGCAUCUAAGCACGAAACUUGCCCCGAGAUGAGUUCUCCCUGACUCCUUGAGAGUCCUGAAGGAACGUUGAAGACGACGACGUUGAUAGGCCGGGUGUGUAAGCGCAGCGAUGCGUUGAGCUAACCGGUACUAAUGAACCGUGAGGCUUAACCUU